rnacentral:miRNA from 1 species
CAUAUGUAUGUGUGUGUGUGUGUGUGUGUGUGUGUGUGCGCACACACACACACACAUGCAUACAUACAUAUACAUAUA